UACGUAGGGUGCAAGCGUAUCCGGAAUUAUUGGGCGUAAAGAGCUCGUAGGCGGUUUGUCGCGUCUGCUGUGAAAACUGGAGGCUCAACCUCCAGCCUGCAGUGGGUACGGGCAAACUAGAGUGCGGUAGGGGAGAUUGGAAUUCCUGGUGUAGCGGUGGAAUGCGCAGAUAUCAGGAGGAACACCGAUGGCGAAGGCAGAUCUCUGGGCCGUAACUGACGCUGAGGAGCGAAGCAUGGGGAGCGAACAGG
rnacentral:rRNA from 1 species